rnacentral:rRNA from 1 species
UACGUAGGGGGCAAGCGUUGUCCGGAUUUAUUGGGCGUAAAGAGCUCGUAGGCGGUUUGGUAAGUCAGGUGUGAAAUCUCCACGCUCAACGUGGAGGGGCCACCUGAUACUGCCAUGACUGGAGUCCGGUAGAGGAGUGUGGAAUUCCCGGUGUAGCGGUGAAAUGCGCAGAUAUCGGGAGGAACACCAGUGGCGAAGGCGACUACCUGGCCUGUUCUUGACGCUGAGGCGCGAAAGCUAGGGGAGCAAACGGG